rnacentral:rRNA from 1 species
UACGGAGGAUCCAAGCGUUAUCCGGAUUUAUUGGGUUUAAAGGGUGCGUAGGCGGCUUAUUAAGUCAGUGGUGAAAGCCUGCAGCUUAACUGCAGAACUGCCAUUGAUACUGAUGAGCUUGAGUAUAGUUGAGGUGGGCGGAAUGUGUCAUGUAGCGGUGAAAUGCUUAGAUAUGACACAGAACACCGAUUGCGAAGGCAGCUCGCUAAACUAUAACUGACGCUGAGGCACGAAAGCGUGGGGAGCAAACAGG